rnacentral:rRNA from 1 species
UACGUAGGGGGCAAGCGUUGUCCGGAUUUACUGGGCGUAAAGCGUGCGCAGGCGGUUAUGCAAGACAGAUGUGAAAUCCCCGGGCUCAACCUGGGAACUGCAUUUGUGACUGCAUAGCUAGAGUACGGUAGAGGGGGAUGGAAUUCCGCGUGUAGCAGUGAAAUGCGUAGAUAUGCGGAGGAACACCGAUGGCGAAGGCAAUCCCCUGGACCUGUACUGACGCUCAUGCACGAAAGCGUGGGGAGCAAACAGG